GACGAACGCUGGCGGCGUGCCUAAUACAUGCAAGUAGAACGCUGAAGAGAGGAGCUUGCUCUUCUUGGAUGAGUUGCGAACGGGUGAGUAACGCGUAGGUAACCUGCCUUGUAGCGGGGGAUAACUAUUGGAAACGAUAGCUAAUACCGCAUAACAAUGGAUGACACAUGGCAUUUAUUUGAAAGGGGCAAUUGCUCCACUACAAGAUGGACCUGCGUUGUAUUAGCUAGUAGGUGAGGUAAUGGCUCACCUAGGCGACGAUACAUAGCCGACCUGAGAGGGUGAUCGGCCACACUGGGGCGGGAACACGCCCCAGAGUCCUGCGGGAGGCAGCAGUACGGUAUCGUCGGCAAUGGGGGCAACUCUUACCCAGCGGCGCCGCGUGAGUGGAGAAGGUUUUCGGUUCGUAAAGUCCUGUUGUAGGUCGAGAACGGGUGUGAGAGUGGAAAGUGCACACUGUGACGGUAGCUUAACAAAAAGGAACGGCUAACUACGUG
rnacentral:rRNA from 1 species